UACGAAGGGGGCUAGCGUUGCUCGGAAUUACUGGGCGUAAAGGGCGCGUAGGCGGAUGUUUAAGUUGGGGGUGAAAGCCCGGGGCUCAACCUCGGAAUGGCAUGGGAAACUGGCGAGCUAGAGUUCGGCAGAGGGAAGCGGAAUUUCCGGUGUAGCGGUGAAAUGCGUAGAUAUCGGAAGGAACAUCAGUGGCGAAAGCGGCUUCCUGGACCAGAACUGACGAUCAGGCACGAAAGCGUGGGGGAGACAAAGCAGGGAUUAAGCAAACCCG
rnacentral:rRNA from 1 species